GGUAAAACUCGAAAAAUUUGAAUAUCGUGCAAAGUUAAUUUAUUUUAGUAAUGCAACUUAAAAGGUGAAACUAAUAUAUGAGAUAGACUCGUUACAUGAAAAGCGAGAUAUUUUAAGCUUUUAUUUGUUAUAGUUUGGAUGAUUAUGGCUUACAGCUUAUGAAAACCCCAAAGUCAAAAUUUUGAGGUACCCUUUGCUCAGGGGGUAUGGAUUAAUUAGCUGACUAACGUGUGACACUUAGAG